rnacentral:lncRNA from 10 species
UAAAAUUCAUGACUGCUGCCCUGGCUGUGAUGAAGUAACUGCCACAGUAAACAAUGAGAAAACUGGACAAAACAAAGGAGAAACUGUUUUAGGAUAUCAGGCAACAGGAAGCAGAGGAUUGUGACCCAAAGAGAAGGGAAACAAAUGAGGUAAGCGCUCAUUUAGUUGUUCUUUGAUUUAUUUAAUUCUUCUCUGAUUCUUUCAUCAGAAUUCUGUAGAUUUCAUCAUAUAAAUCUCAUACAUACAGAUGGUUCUUGACACGCAAUGGCAUUUCACCCCGAUAAAUCUGUUUAGGCACUAUUAUCCUCACUGAAACCGAGAGACCCAGCAGAUAAAGAACUUGUCUACGGCUAUGCAGCCAGGGAUGAAAACGAAUCAAGUGACUGAAAGAGAAGAAAGUUUCAGAUGACAGGAGUGACGUGCAAAGGUACAGACGCUUGAGGAAGCAUGGUAGGUAGAUUUGAGGCUGCAAGCUUCUUUCCUUCCUUCACAGGCACAUUUCUUGAAAGGUAAUAUCUACCCCCUGCCUUCAUUUUCGUUUCCUUAUUAGUUCAAGAAAUAUUUACUGAGCUCCUUGGUGACUACCCAGUCUUUCCUUGAUGACCUGAAAUUUGACCCUGUCCCUUCUAUUCAACUUGCCAACAACCUUUUUACUGCUGUAAUAAGAGGCCAUUUUUUUAUAAUACUCAUUUUCUUCUGAUUAUAAAAGUAAAUUCAGAUUGUGGUGAUGGUAUACAAUUCUGUAAAUCUGUUAAAAAUCAUUGAACUGGACACAAAACAAGAAUGUCUCCAAAUGUAAAUUAUACUUCAAUAAAGAUGGGUUUUUUUAAGUAAAUAAAUGCUCAUUGUAGAAAAACCAAGAAAUAGAAAGAAAUACAUAUGGUGACUAUCUCCUGUAAUCUAUCACCGCAUGUAGCUAGUGAUUUUUCGGUGCAAUGUUUUUGCACAUUACCUGGAUAUUUCUGAAGUCUUAAACCUGAUAUUUUCUUCUACUCAGCCCUGCCCAGCUUGUCAUUCUACCUUCCCUGCCUCGUGGGAAAGUAUAGAAAAAGCAAAGGAGGUUGGGCACAGUAGCUCACGACUGUAAUCCCAGUGCUUUGGGAGGACGAGGCAGGUGGAUCACCUGAGGUCAG